UACGGGGGGUGCAAGCGUUAUUCGGAAUCAUUGGGCGUAAAGAGCACGUAGGCGGCUUGGUAAGUCAGAUGUGAAAGCCCGGGGCUUAACCCCGGAAGUGCAUUUGAUACUGCCAGGCUUGAGUAUGGGAGAGGGAAGUGGAAUUCCUGGUGUAGAGGUGAAAUUCGUAGAUAUCAGGAGGAACACCGGUGGCGAAGGCGACUUCCUGGACCAAUACUGACGCUGAGGUGCGAAGGCGUGGGUAGCAAACAGG
rnacentral:rRNA from 1 species